rnacentral:rRNA from 1 species
AAAAACUAGCAAUCAAUAAGCGGAGGAAAAGAAACCAACAGGGAUUGCCUCAGUAACGGCGAGUGAAGCGGCAAUAGCUCAAAUUUGAAAUCUGGCUCUUUCAGGGUCCGAGUUGUAAUUUGCAGAGGGCGCUUUGGAGUCGGCAGCAGCCUAAGUUCCUUGGAACAGGUCAUCAUAGAGGGUGAGAAUCCCGUAUGUGGCUGCUUGCCUUCGCCGUGUAAAGCCCCUUCGAUGAGUCGAGUUGUUUGGGAAUGCAGCUCUAAAUGGGAGGUAAAUUUCUUCUAAAGCUAAAUAUUGGCCAGAGACCGAUAGCGCACAAGUAGAGUGAUCGAAAGAUGAAAAGCACUUUGGAAAGAGAGUCAAAAAGCACGUGAAAUUGUUGAAAGGGAAGCGCUUGCAGCCAGACGUGCCCGUAGUUGCUCAUCUGGGGUUCUCCCCAGUGCACUCUUCUAUGGGCAGGCCAGCAUCAGUCCGGGCGGUUGGAGAAAGACCUGUGUCACGUAGCUCUCUUCGGGGAGUGUUAUAGGGCAGGUGGAAUGCAACCAGCCUGGACUGAGGUCCGCGCAUCUGCUAGGAUGCUGGCGUAAUGGCUGUAAGCGGCCCGUCUUGAAACACGGACCAAGGAGUCUAACAUCUAUGCGAGUGUUUGGGUGUCAAGCCCGAGCGCGUAAUGAAAGUGAACGGAGGUGGGAACCCCUCGGGGUGCACCAUCGACCGAUCCUGAUGUCUUCGGAUGGAUUUGAGUAAGAGCAUAGCUGUUGGGACCCGAAAGAUGGUGAACUAUGCCUGAAUAGGGUGAAGCCAGAGGAAACUCUGGUGGAGGCUCGCAGCGGUUCUGACGUGCAAAUCGAUCGUCAAAUUUGGGCAUAGGGGCGAAAGACUAAUCGAACUAUCUAGUAGCUGGUUCCUGCCGAAGUUUCCCUCAGGAUAGCAGUAACGUUUUCAGUUUUAUGAGGUAAAGCGAAUGAUUAGAGGCCUGGGGGUUGAAACAACCUUCACCUAUUCUCAAACUUUAAAUAUGUAAGAAGUCCUUGUUUCUUAAUUGAACGUGGACAUUUGAAUGUAUCGUUACUAGUGGGCCAUUUUGUA